rnacentral:rRNA from 1 species
GACGAACGCUGGCGGCGUGCCUAAUACAUGCAAGUUGAGCGCUGAAGGUUGGUACUUGUACCAACUGGAUGAGCAGCGAACGGGUGAGUAACGCGUGGGGAAUCUGCCUUUGAGCGGGGGACAACAUUUGGAAACGAAUGCUAAUACCGCAUAAAAACUUUAAACACAAGUUUUAAGUUUGAAAGAUGCAAUCGCAUCACUCAAAGAUGAUCCCGCGUUGUAUUAGCUAGUUGGUGAGGUAAAGGCUCACCAAGGCGAUGAUACAUAGCCGACCUGAGAGGGUGAUCGGCCACAUUGGGAAUGAGACACGGCCCAAACUCCUACGGGAGGCAGCAGUAGGGAAUCUUCGGCAAUGGACGAAAGUCUGACCGAGCAACGCCGCGUGAGUGAAGAAGGUUUUCGGAUCGUAAAACUCUGUUGGUAGAGAAGAACGUUGGUGAGAGUGGAAAGCUCAUCAAGUGACGGUAACUACCCAGAAAGGGACGGCUAACUACGUG